rnacentral:rRNA from 1 species
GGGUGCGAUUAUACCAGCACUAAUGCACCGGAUCCCAUCAGAACCCCGCAGUUAAGCGCGCUUGGGCGAGAGUAGUACUAGGAUGGGU